CUUAAACCAACUUAAAUUAGGUAGUUUUAGAAAUAUUCAGUUUUGAGGUUGAAUAAUUAUUUCCUAAAAUCAUAAUAUUACUUCGUUAGUUUCUUUGUCGUCUUUUUAUAUAUUAGGGUUUCGUUUCUAGAGUAGCAGACGCAGCCACCCACCACCAAACGCACUCUUCUUCUCUCCACUUUCCAUUUUUUUCUUUUAGCUCAGCUUCAUCGCCCAUCCCUCUGCCGCCAAUUAAACGGAGUCGCACCAUUCUCUGUCUUGUCAUGGUAUUACCGAUUCGGCGUGAACAGAAUCAGGUGUGACCCAGCUGAGCAAUAGUGAGGAUGGGGCAGAAGAUUUUUUUCUUUUUUCAGUGAGGAGGAGGUGUGCAAAUGAGCCGAGCUUUUCACCGUUGAGGUUCAGCUAGCGGGAGAAAAAUUAAAUAAGCUCCUCUCGAGCCGAGCUCGAGAAAUUCUUAUAUUCUUGAGCUGGACCAAGGCUCAUUUCAAAUUUAGCUCAUUUUAAAUUUAAUAAAUUGAAAACUCGAUUUGUAAUUAAUUUGAUAUUAUAUAUAAAUGAGUUAGAUUCAAGUUUUGCUA